CCCCUCUCAGGGUCACACCUGGAGAGUUUCCAAUACUCUACCAGUCUUGGCUGUGAGAGGGAGAAUCAAACAGAGGCCUACCCAUUCCAUUCCUAGCUAGGGCUGUGGCUAGUGAGUGGAAGGCAAUCUGCUACAAGU